rnacentral:rRNA from 1 species
GACGAACGCUGGCGGCGUGCCUAAUACAUGCAAGUCGAACGCAGUGGGGACGGGUGCGUAACACGUGGGUAACCUCCCAUCAGAGGGGAUAACACGUGGAAACAGGUGCUAAACCGAUACUGGAUGAUGGUCCCGCGGGGCAUUAGCUAGUUGGGGGGGUAACGGCUCACCAAGGCGACGAUGCAUAGCCGGUCUGAGAGGGUGAUCAGCCACACUGGAACUGAGACACGGCCCAGACUCCUACGGGAGGCAGCAGUAGGGAAUAUUCGGCAAUGGGCGAAAGUCUGACCGAGCAACGCCGCGUGAGUGAAGAAGGUUUUCGGGUCGUAAAGCUCUUUUGUUAGAGAAGCGUUAUCUAACCAGGAAGCAACGGCUAACUACGUGCCAGCAGCCGCGGUAAUAC